AUGGAGUUAAGUUUGUCUCAUACGCUUCGUCUUUUUAAUAUCUUUCAUGAGUAUGAUGAAAAGGAAAAUUGUGCUCAAGCGCUAGAGGAAGAAAUCUAUAGAAUGUUUGAUACUAAAUCUUUGAAUGAUGAGCAUGAUUGCAAUGUUGUUAGUAUGAAUUCCUUGAAUAUCCAUGAUGCUAAUGAUAUGCAAAGCCACAAGCUUGGGGAAGCUAUGCUUGAUGAAUAUGAUAUUUUUAGUCCCCCAAGUUUUGAUGAGAAAAUUCAUUAUGAUGAAAGCAUGCCUCCUAUUUAUGAUGAUUAUAUUGAUGAAAGUGGGUUUGGAAGAGUGUCAACUUUCUUUAGUGAUGAUUCCACUAUUUCGGAAGAGGUUCCAAUUGAUUAUGAGAACAAAGUUGCUAUCUAUGAUGAUUAUUGUGAUGACUUGUAUGCUAUUAGGAAUAAUGAUAACCAUGAAACUUGUCAUCAUGAUUUUAGUUUUGAAUUGGAUUAUGCCUCACAUGAUAAUUAUUUUGUUGAGUUUGCUCCCACUAUUAUUCAUGAGAAGGAAUUUGCUUGUGUGGAGAGUUGUGAAUUUUCUAUACUAGUAGAUCAUGAAAAGAAUGCUUUAGGUGCUGGUUAUAUUGUUGAAUUCAUUCACGAUGCUACUGAAAAUUAUUAUGAGGGAGCAACAUAUGCUUGUAGGAAUUGCAAUAAUAUCAAGUUUCCUCUCUAUGUGUUGAAAAUCUUGAAGCUAUGCUUGUUUUACCUUCCUAUGCUAGUUGAUUAUUGUUCCCAUAAGUUCUUUGCUCACAAAAUCCCUAUGGAUAGGAAGUGGGUUAGAAUUAAAUGUGCUAGUCAUAUUCUUCAUGAUGCUCCCGUUAUGUUUCAAUUCUUAUCUUUUAUGUGA
rnacentral:rRNA from 1 species